GAUGAACGCUAGCGGCAGGCUUAAUACAUGCAAGUCGAGGGGGUAACAUUAUCGCUUGCGAUAGAUGACGACCGGCAAACGGGUGCGUAACACGUAUGCAACUUACCUUCAACAAAGGGAUAGCCCAGAGAAAUUUGGAUUAAUACCUUAUACGAUACUGAUUCGCAUGAUGAAGUAUUGAAAAACUCCGGUGGUUGAAGAUGGGCAUGCGGCCUAUUAGCUAGUUGGUGUGGUAACGGCACACCAAGGCAACGAUAGGUAGGGGCCCUGAGAGGGGGAUCCCCCACACUGGUACUGAGACACGGACCAGACUCCUACGGGAGGCAGCAGUAAGGAAUAUUGGACAAUGGACGAAAGUCUGAUCCAGCCAUGCCGCGUGCAGGAUGACAGCCCUACGGGUUGUAAACUGCUUUUAUACGGGAAGAAAAACACCUACGUGUAGGUGACUGACGGUACCGUAAGAAUAAGGACCGGCUAACUCCGUG
rnacentral:rRNA from 1 species